rnacentral:rRNA from 1 species
CCUACGGGAGGCUGCAGUGAGGAAUAUUGGUCAAUGGGCGCGAGCCUGAACCAGCCAAGUAGCGUGAAGGAUGACUGCCCUACGGGUUGUAAACUUCUUUUAUAAGGGAAUAAAGUGAGGCACGUGUGCCUUUUUGUAUGUACUUUAUGAAUAAGGAUCGGCUAACUCCGUGCCAGCAGCCGCGGUAAUACGGAGGGUCCGAGCGUUAUCCGGAUUUAUUGGGUUUAAAGGGAGCGUAGAUGGGGUGUUAAGUCAGUUGUGAAAGUUUGCGGCUCAACCGUAAAAUUGCAAUGGAUACUGGCAGCCUUGAGUACAGGGGAGGCAGGCGGAAUUCGUGGUGUAGCGGUGAAAUGCUUAGAUAGCACGAAGAACCCCGAUUGCGAAGGCAGCCUACUAAAGCGCCACUGACAUUGAUGCUCGAAAGCGCGGGUAUCAAACAGGAUUAGAUACCCCAGUAGUC